rnacentral:lncRNA from 1 species
GUCACCACCACCACCACCACUGCCACCAUUAGUAUGUGUGUGCAUAGACAGGAAAAAUGUUUUGUCAAUCAUCUCCAUCUGAUGAGGCAUCUCAAACAGUUCAUAGAUUGCAUCUAAUUGAUAACAUUCCCAGGUUUACAUCUCAAGUCACGAUGCUCUACCAGCCAACCCAGCAAACCUAGCAAACCCAGCCAGCCUGCCUGCCACCCACCAAGAGAUUCUACUGCACAAUUUAGUGCACACCCAUUGCUUGCACUGAAUACACAGUAUUGAAUUACUAAGAAAAAAUGUCUAAGCUCACUGCAGAAUCACCCAGAAAAUGAAUUAGUUGAACUGCUCAAAUGCCUCAUUAGAUCUAUUACCAAGAUUUAGUGACAUCAUGUCGAUUGUCAGGGCCUUGAGGUGAGGCAAGUAUUUUGGGGAGAGCAAGCUAUUUCUUUCUUUGUUUUCUUAUAUUUUUACUAAUUACUGAAUUACUUUAUUUUUCUUAUGAGAUUGUCUGCCCCUGCACACUUACAUGCAUACCUACCAACCUACCUACUUACAUAUCCACCUACUUACAUACCUACUUGCAUAUAUAUAUAUAUAUAUAUAUAUAUAUAUAUAUAUAGAUAGAUAGAUAGAUAGAUAGAUAGAUAGAUAUAUGUAUGUUUAUAUAUGUAUAUAUAUGUAUAUAUAUGUAUGUGUAUAUAUGUAUAUGUGUGUAUAUGUAUGUGUAUAUGUAUGUGUAUAUGUGUCUAUAUAUAUGGGUGUGUAUAUAUAUAUAUAUAUAUAUAUAUAUAUAUAUAUAUAUGCAUGUAUAUGUAUGUAUAUUAUUUAUAUUAUUAUAUGAUUGAACACCACAAAUCCUUUUCCGAGUAAGUUUUAUCUUAAUUACUCUGAUGCGUUCCUUCUAUUAUUCUUUUUUUUUUUCUCUCUUCCUCCACUAUUCCAUCCUUUUGCUCUUUCGUUUUCUCUCUACCUUUCUCUUGUUCUUUUGCCUCCUGUUCUCCCACUAUUCUAUCCUACUCUUUUGUUUUCUCUCUUUCUUUCUUUUGCCUCCCCUUCUCUCUCUCUCUCUCAUUUUUCUCUCUUAUCCUGUCUCCAAAUCUUUUCCUCUCAACUUCACAGCUCUCUGUCUAUCACUCUCUCUCCCUCACUCUUCUUCCAUUGCUCACAUGGCCCCCCACGUGACCAUCAGCUAUUCUCCCAACUUGUGUUUCUUUCUUUCUUCAUAUUUCAGCCGGACAGGGAAGACGUAUUGUUCUCUGUCUCCUGUCUAGACUUGUUUCUUUGGGUUCGCCACCAUAACCUCUUCCUAUUUGUUUUCACUGUCCUGUUUUUGUUACCAAAUUUUACCCUUCGCAAGAUCGUAAAUUUUAUUUAAUUUGCUUUGCGGGAGCAACAGUUUUAUCGAAGGCGUAUCUUGUCAUGAAUUGCUUGAUAUACGCAUUAGAAAAACAGCUGACAACUGAUGAAGGGUCGUUCCUUGUGUUGCUUGUCUUGUUUUCCAUUUGUUUCUUUCGUUGCUUGCAAAAAAGACCUUAUUCCAUGUUCUCAUACUUCGUAUUUUUUGUUGUUUAUGUUUUAUGACAUCCUGUGCACACUUAUGCAUAUGUAUAUACAUAUAUUUGUAAGUAUGUACGUAUACGUAUGUAUAUAUGCAUAUAUAUAUAUAUAUAAAUAUUAUUUAUAUUAUUAUAUAUAUAUAUACAUAUAUAUAUAUAUAUACCUACAUAUAUAUACAUAUAAAUAUACACACAUAUAUAUGUGUGUAUAUAUAUAUAUAUGUGUGUGUAUGUAUAUAUAUGUAUAUGUAUAUAUAUAUAUGUAUAUGUGUAUAUGUAUAUGUGUAUAUAUAUAUAUAUAUAUAUAUAUAUAUACAUAUAUAUAUAUAUAUAUAUAUAUAUAUAUAUAUAUAUAUAUAUAUAUAUAUAAGGUAAUCGAGGUAGUCAGAGUAUGUGACAGAAUACUUAAGAUUAGAUUAGUGCUCCAUCAUAGUUUAGCAACUAUUAUAUCGGCCUAUGCCCCUCAGCCAGGGCUACCCGAUGGACAGAAAGACUGUUUCUAUGACACCCUACUGCAAACCACCUCAUUGACGAAUGACAGGGGCCUUCUCUUUGUGGCUGGUGACUUCAAUGGGCAUGUUGGACAACAUGCUGGGGGCUUCCAUGGCGUACAUGGAGGCUACGGUUAUGGUUCCCGCGACGAAGAGGGAACCAGGCUGCUGGAGUUCUGUGAUGCGAAUAGUCUUAUGGUUUACAACACUAACUUCAGGAAACCAACAAGCCACCUGGUCACCUACCGAUCGGGCCGGCAUACUAGCCAAAUCGACUACAUCCUUGCCAGAAAAAGGGAAAGAUGGCUGCUAUGAAUGCCAAAACCUUCCCAGGUGAAGAAUGUACCCCACAACAUAGACUGGUAGUUAGUGACUUUAGGAUCAGGACUAAGAGGACGACUAGAAGACGACCAACAUAGAGAAGAAGGGUCUGGAAGCUUAAAGACCCUGCGAAUGGACAGAGAUUUAGAGACAUGUUACUUGAAGCCUUUGACGAAAUAGAAGGGGGUAUAGCUACACACAGGGUAGAAGACAACUGGACGCUUCUAAGGGACAACCUGCUGAAAGCCACUGACCAGAUCUGUGGCUGGUGCAAAGUCCCCUCAAGACCCAAAGUAACGUGGUGGUGGAACAAUAUUGUUGACAGGGCUAUUAGACAAAAGAAACAGGCUUGGAAGGACUGGAAGAACGGUGGUAGCAGGGAAGUGUAUCAGACUGCCAGAAGGGAAGCUAGGAGGCAGGUGUAUUUAGCCAGAGGGGAAGCAGAUAAGAAAAAAUUUGCCAAUGUUCUGCACUAUGAGGAUGAAAGACUUGAGGUAUUUCGUGUAGCAAGACAGUGUGUGAGAGAGAAUCAUGACGUGGUAGGAGAGAAAUGUGUUCGCAAGGAUGACAGCUCACUUGCACUAAAUGAGGAUGCAAAGAGAGAGGUUUGGAGACGCCACUAUGAAAGGUUGCUGAAUGAGGAAAAUGAAUGGGAUAAAGAGAGUCUGCCGAAUGUCGACCCAACAGAGGGACCAGCAACCCGAGUUGACAGUUCCUUAGUAGUUAAGGCAAUUACAAGCAUGAAAACAGGGAAAGCCCCAGGCCCAUCAGGAAUUACUGCAGAGAUGCUCAAAAUAUCUGGUAGUGUCGGCUAUAGCCUAGUCACCCGUAUAGUUAACCAGGUGAUACACGAAGGAGUCAUACCCAAUGACUGGUGUAGCAGCAUAAUAGUCAACUGCUACAAAGGUAAAGGUGACGCCCUAGAUACAAAUAACUACAGGGGUAUCAAGCUGCUGGAUCAGGUAAUGAAGGUUACAGAGAGGUUUAUAGCCCAACUAAUUAGAGAGAGAGUUAGUUUAGAUGAGAUGCAGUUUGGGUUCAUGCCAGGGAAAAGUACUACUGAUGUUAUAUUCCUGGUAAGACAGCUGCAGGAGAAAUACCUAGCCAAAGAUAAGCCCCUGUACCUGGCUUUUGUUGACAUGGAGAAAGCCUUCGACAGGGUCUCCCGAUCCCUUAUCUGGUGGUCAAUGAGAAAACUAGGGAUAGAUGAAUGGUUAGUGAGAGCUGUGCGAGCCAUGUACAGAGACACUGCUAGUAAGGUGAGGGUUGGCAACGAGUACAGUGAAGAAUUCCGGGUAGAGGUUGGGGUCCACCAAGGUUCAGUCCUCAGUCCCCUCCUAUUUAUCAUAGUCCUCCAGGCAAUAACGGAGGAAUUCAAGACAGGAUGCCCCUGGGAGUUCCUCUAUGCUGAUGACCUAGCUCUAAUUGCUGAGUCACUAUCAGAACUGGAGGAGAAGUUUCAGGUGUGGAAGCAAGGAUUAGAAUCGAAGGGCCUUAGAAUCAACCUAGCCAAAACCAAAGUCCUAAUAAGUAGGAAGGUAGACAAGUCACAAACGCCUUCAGGUAGAUGGCCCUGCUCGAUCUGUAAAAAAGGUUUAGGUAGAAACUCUAUAAGGUGCACCAAGUGUAAGCUAUGGACACAUAAGAGGUGCAGCAAUGUCAAAAGAAGGCUCACUAGGAAAAUAGUUUGUCUGUGGCAGAUGCUCAGGAGCAAUAAACACUGAAAAUGUGCGGAGACCAACUUCUACCACGUUCCAGGGAGAAAAACUAGAAGUAGUUGAUAGCUUCCGCUACCUAGGUGACCAAGUCAGUAGCGGGGGUGGGGGUGCUGAAAGUGUAACUGCUAGAGUAAGUAUAGCCUGGGCAAAGUUUAGAGAGCUCUUACCCCUGCUGGUGACAAAAGGCCUCUCGCUCAGAGUGAAAGGCAGACUGUAUGAUGCAUGUGUACGUACAGCCAUGCUACAUGGUAGUGAAACAUGGGCUGUGACUGCUGAGGAUAUGCGUAAGCUUGCAAGAAAUGAAGCCAGUAUGCUCAAAGUUACUCAAAGUUCAUUCUCACUGCAUUGUGCGAAAGUACAUUUAUAUGCAUAUAGGCAUCUCGAUAGAUGUUCAGAAAUUCUAUUAAGUAUCUUCUCAUUAGUCUACAGAAUAGACAGGGAUUCCUGAAGUAGAGACGGCAUUUCCUGGAAAUUACAUUGUAUGGUUUUGCAUGUCUAACUAUGGACCAAUUAAUGUUGUACUUCAGUCGCCAUAUAAAAGAUGUCGAAUGUCCCUUAUUGAUUGACUUAAAGCUGGCAACAUGAUUAUAAUAACGAUUUUUAAAUGAAUCAACCAUCUGCCCAAUGUAAACAUGGGCCCUCCCCUUGUGUGCAUGGUACAUUUAUAUACAAGAUUUGUACUCAUACAGAGCUUCAUCAAAGGACAUUUUAAUUUAUCUCUGCAUGAGCAUUUAUCAUAUUUAUUUGUAUAUAAGGCAGUCCCGACUCCAUUUACCGGCAUUUUUAUCAUGCUAGCUGUACCAUGAGUAUUUCUACUACUACAAAUUGGUCGAAGUUGAUGAUUAUCAAUGUGGUUUAUAUCUCCUUGGUUGGUAUUUAGAUGCAAAUGUAUGCUAGAUCCAGUAGGUGGGUUAUUGAUCCUUUGCCACAUUUUGCUAUUGUUUAUGCAAUGCAUAAGCUGCUCUAAAUUGGCAGAGUUGGCAUAGGAUACCUUCACAGUGUGUUGAUUAAAAAUAGCAUGAUACCAAUUAGAUUUAGGAAAACACUUGUCCAAAGCAGCAAAAAAUUUUCCAGUGAUCCUGGUUGAAACAUACAAAUCAAAAAUUGGGUUGAACCAGAGGACAUCCUGAUUCCUAUAUCUGUUGUUUGGCUUAUUUGAUCAAGUGUGCUGUACAGGAUUGGAACAAGCAGUUGAAUUACUACGUCACAUGUGUCUAUGAGUUUUCUUAAGUAGUUCAUUGACAUGACCAAUUCUUUCUGGCCUGUAUUCUUUAUCCAAGUAAUUUCCAGGAGAUGCCAUCUCUGCUCCGAGGAAUCCCUGUCUAUUCUGUGGAUUAAUGAGAAGAUACUUAAUAGAAUUUCUGAAUGACUAUUGAAAUGCCUACACGCAUAUAAAUGUACUUUUGCACUCUGAAAGUGACUGUGCUUUACCAGUGAGCUACCAGAUGUAAACCAUUCGUUUUAUUAUCCAUUAUAUAUAUGUGUGUGUGUAUACAUGCAUUUACAUACAUACAUUCAUGCAUACAUACAUAUACAGGAUGUUCGAGCAAAAUUUCACAAAUUUUUCUGUUUCUUUUUUUCAGGAACAGCUUGAUGUAUUGGUGAACAUCAUUGGAGGACACAAAGAUUAAAUUUGUAGUUGAGAAAAAGUUAGCCAACAUGGAGGACUUGAAACUAUCUGAAUACUGGCAAAGAGUUGCCUGAAUCAUGGUGAUUCAUAUUAGCUGUCAAAUGCCAUGACCGCUGCUCAAUGCUCUGUGAACAUUGUAAAGGCUGUAAGACUUGACAUGGAUAGUUGGAAUGGUGACUAUGAAGCUGUGGCCAGCAGGAAGGGACACAGUAAACUUUCUGACAGUGGCCAGAAGCCCGAAUUCAUCCAACAACUGAUGAACAUAGCCAUAGAAUAAAUUCAGAUGGUUAUGUGAAGCGACUGGACACUGAUCAAUUCCUGACUGAAGAAGGUUGCUGCUGAGAGGCCAUAUGUGUGACAGCAGGAUUUGCCACCUUGUCAUAACUCCUGAAAGAAUCAGAAGUGGUGUCAGAGAAUUUCUACAACUUCACAGUUCCUAUUUCUGCCCUCCUAAUUUUCCCACUUGUAAUUCUAUGGAUUACUAUGUAUGGGACAUGGUUGAUAAAGAUAUCAACUGCUCUUCCUGCAACACCAAGGCUGACCUGAUGACUAAGAUCAAGGAAGUGUUCAAAGAUCUUUCCAAAGACACAGUUAGGAAAGCAUGCACCAGGUUCUGGGGCUGUCUUGAGGCUAUAGUAGAAGCUGAAUGCAGCCACUUGGAAUAAACUGUUAUCUCCCAGUUUAUCUCACUCAUCAAUGUUAUCUGGUGGUUGUCGUUUGAGAUGUGACAUUGAUCAUCAUUUGUUACUGAAAGAAUGCUGGUUCACACAAACAUAUACAUACUUCCCUUGUACAUGCACAUACAUACACACAUAUACUCAAAGUUGAAACACUGUUUGAUUUUGUUUUUCAGUAUUGAAUGUUCACUAUCCCACUCCCAUUGCACACACACACACACACACAAACACUCACAUACCUCCCUUUUACAUAUUCUCACCAAGUUGAAACACUCCCACUAAGUUUGCCACCACCCCGUCCUUCUUUACUCAUCUGUCACCCCUUCCUUUCUCAUUCAUAUGUUGCGACAGAGAAAAACACAAGAGUAUUAUUAUAGUAGAUUAUUGUUCCCCAGCCACUUAGAAUUCAGUCUCAUUUUGCUGCACCUUAGACAGCUGUCUUCUACUAGUUAUAGUCAACCAAAGCUUUGUGAAUUGAUUUGGAAGAUGGAAACUAAAAAGAAUCCCAUUGUGUAUGUAUGGUUGUUUGUAUGCAUGACUAUUUGUUUUUACAUCACGUAACUGCCAUCAGCAUCACUGCUGUGAGAUCAGUGUUGUUUGUUUCUAGUCUUCCAUGAAAACAUAUCGGGCUAUGAGGCAAUAUAAUACCUUGCUAAGAAAACAAGUGAGGAUUCAUGACAGGAUAAGUAUCUGGUUGAAGAAAAAUCUGCCACAAUGAAUUUCAUCUCAAUAGGAUGAUGAUGAUGAUGAUGAUGAUGAUGACGAUGAAUUUUGGAAUUUUUGCAAAAAGUGAAAUAUGAUAAAAAUGUAAAAAGGAAAUUUUCAUUUUGCAUUUAGUUCACAAGAUUCUUGAUUCAAACUUAUGUGUUGAAACAUAUCUUGUUGUAUCUUGGGAGGAUUGUUAUGCCAAUAAUAAAUACAUGCACUGGUUCAGUUUCACUUCUUUAGUGUUUAUUUUAUGCAUUAACAUUCAAGCCAGCCAUAUCAGGCCCAAAUAUUCUACUUGUUUUGUGUUCAAACUGACCUGAUCAGGCCUUGCACAACUACUCUGCAAUGUUAUUCUAAAAGUAAACAAUCACAUCAUUGAAAGCUAUGAGAUAAAACAUGAUUAAUUCAAAACAAUUUGAAUCAAUAAGCAUUACAUGUAAUAGAGUAAUCUGAAUGCUUAAGGUUUAAUCAAGUCAAGCAAUCAGUAAGGUUUGUCAAAGUCUGUCUCAGACAGACCUGAAGCAGGCCUGAGGUAAAGAGGGUAUGUAAUUUAUAAGGUUGCAAAUGGUGGAAAAAGG